rnacentral:rRNA from 1 species
GACGAACGCUGGCGGCGUGCUUAACACAUGCCAGUCGAACGGAAAGGCCCUGCUUUUGUGGGGCGCUCGAGUGGCGAACGGGUGAGUAACACGUGAGUAACCUGCCCUUGACUUUGGGAUAACUUCAGGAAACUGGGGCUAAUACCGGAUAGGAGCUCCUGCUGCAUGGUGGGGGUUGGAAAGUUUCGGCGGUUGGGGAUGGACUCGCGGCUUAUCAGCUUGUUGGUGGGGUAGUGGCUUACCAAGGCUUUGACGGGUAGCCGGCCUGAGAGGGUGACCGGCCACAUUGGGACUGAGAUACGGCCCAGACUCCUACGGGAGGCAGCAGUGGGGAAUAUUGCACAAUGGGCGGAAGCCGGAUGCAGCAACGCCGCGUGCGGGAUGACGGCCUUCGGGUUGUAAACCGCUUUCGCCUGUGACGAAGCGUGAGUGACGGUAAUGGGUAAAGAAGCACCGGCUAACUACGUG